rnacentral:lncRNA from 1 species
AAUCAAAUGUUGUCCGUGCAUUAACUCAUGAACCGUUCAACCAAAGCUUUUAAAAUUUUAAUAUGUUGUUACUGACAACUAAAUGAAGGUCAAGUUCAAUAAUGGCGAUUUUGACUUUUACCGUUCAGGAGUUAUGGUUCUUGAAAGAUUGAAAAAUGGAGUUUCCAGUCGUGUCCGUGCAUUUACGCAUGAACUGUUCUACCUGAGCUUCCCAAAUUUUUAUAUGUUGUUACUGAUGACAAAAUGGAGGUC